GUGGGGAAUCUUGCGCAAUGGGCGAAAGCCUGACGCAGCCAUGCCGCGUGAAUGAUGAAGGUCUUAGGAUUGUAAAAUUCUUUCACCGGGGACGAUAAUGACGGUACCCGGAGAAGAAGCCCCGGCUAACUUCGUGCCAGCAGCCGCGGUAAUACGAAGGGGGCUAGCGUUGCUCGGAAUUACUGGGCGUAAAGGGCGCGUAGGCGGACAGUUUAGUCAGAGGUGAAAGGCCAGGGCUCAACCUUGGAAUUGCCUUUGAUACUGGCUGUCUUGAGUACGGGAGAGGUGAGUGGAACUCCGAGUGUAGAGGUGAAAUUCGGAGAUAUUCGGAAGAACACCAGUGGCGAAGGCGACUCACUGACCCGUUACUGACGCUGAGGCGCGAAAGCGUGGGGAGCAAACAGGAUUAGAAACCCUAGUAGUCC
rnacentral:rRNA from 1 species